rnacentral:rRNA from 1 species
AUUGAACGCUGGCGGCAGGCCUAACACAUGCAAGUCGAACGAGUGGCGGACGGGUGAGUAAUGGCUGGGAAACUGCCCGAUGGAGGGGGAUAACUACUGGAAACGGUAGCUAAUACCGCAUACCAUCGGAUGUGCCCAGAUGGGAUUAGCUAGUAGGGGGGGUAACGGCUCACCUAGGCGACGAUCCCUAGCUGGUCUGAGAGGAUGACCAGCCAAACUGGAACUGAGACACGGUCCAGACUCCUACGGGAGGCAGCAGUGGGAAACAUUUCACAAUGGGCGCAGGCCGGAUGCAGCCAUGCCGCGUGUAUGAAGAAGGCCUUCGGGUUGUAAAGUACUUUCAGCGAUGAGGCGUUACCCGAAGAAGAAGCACCGGCUAACUCCGUGCCAGCAGCCGCGGUAAUAC